UCCAUGGAAAAACGGUGCCGGGUAACACCCGGCGGGGGCGACCCUAGGGAAAGUGCCACAGAAAGCAAACCGCCUAUUUUUAUAGGUAAGGGUGAAAGGGUGGAGUAAGAGCCCACCGCGCAUUCAGUAAUGAAUGUGGCAAGGUAAACCCCACCGGGAGCAAGACCAAAUAGUAAUGACGCGCAAGGCUUAGACUUGCAGCCGGUUUCCGGGCGAGUCAUUCGGGUAGGUUGCACGAGGCGGAUGGUAACAUCCGUCCCAGAUGAAUGGUUGCCAUGUAAAGUGUAAACUUUACCAU
rnacentral:misc_RNA from 1 species